UGCUCAUUUAGGCAGCUGUAGACUAGAAUCAGAGCGAUAUGAAGCAGAUUAGCACGGCCCUUGUGCAAAAAUGACAUGUAAAUUCUUGAAGCGUCCCACAUUUAA